UACGUAGGGUGCAAGCGUUGUCCGGAAUUAUUGGGCGUAAAGGGCUCGUAGGCGGUCCGUCACGUCGGGAGUGAAAACUCGGGGCUCAACCCCGAGCCUGCUUCCGAUACGGGCGGACUAGAGGUAGGUAGGGGAGAACGGAAUUCCUGGUGUAGCGGUGGAAUGCGCAGAUAUCAGGAGGAACACCGGUGGCGAAGGCGGUUCUCUGGGCCUUACCUGACGCUGAGGAGCGAAAGCGUGGGGAGCGAACAGG
rnacentral:rRNA from 1 species